GCCUCUGGGGAUGUUAAAAAAAAUUAACUUUCGUUCUUCCGAGUUGUACAUGCGGAAAAUACAUGGAGACCUGAACUGAAGAGGC